AUACGGAGGGUGCAAGCGUUAAUCGGAAUUACUGGGCGUAAAGCGCGCGUAGGCGGCUGAUUAAGUCGGAUGUGAAAUCCCUGGGCUCAACCUAGGAACUGCAUCCGAUACUGGUCAGCUAGAGUUUUGGAGAGGUAAGUGGAAUUUCCGGUGUAGCGGUGAAACGCAUAGAGAUCGGAAGGAACACCAGUGGCGAAGGCGACUUACUGGCCAAAAACUGACGCUGAGGUGCGAAAGCGUGGGUAGCGAACAGGAUUAGAAACCCUAGUAGUCC
rnacentral:rRNA from 1 species